GCCGUCGUAGCUCAGUGGUAGAGCGCAUCCUUGGUAAGGCUGAGGUCCCGGGUUCGAGUCCCGGCGACGGCACCA
rnacentral:tRNA from 2 species